rnacentral:lncRNA from 1 species
CCUAUCCCUUUGACUGGACCCUAAACCUACUUUUUUAAAAAAAGAGAAAGAGAUCCAGAAAGAGACGGACCCACUUUAGGCAUUUCAGACUUCCCCCUGGAACCAAAUACCCCAUUGGCCUUCCUCGCUGUUACCAGGAGGGGAAUGGGUAGUUUGCACCUCACCCCACCCUCCAGGCUCUCCCGCCUUUGGGACAUUUUGGGUGCCACUUAGGAGAGCGAGAACUAUGGAGUGUGUGUGGCUCAGGGUGGGGCCACAGGUUGGGAGUGGGUAGGGCCUAUUGUCUCCCUGGGCACCAGUCCACAGCCACAGGCAGGCUUAGAGAAGGAGAGACAAAGGAGAAAAUGGAAGAGCACAAAGGCAGAAGGAAUGAAAGGAAAACUGCGGAAGAAAAGCCCACGUGGGAGAGAGAUCUGGAGCUGACCGGGGAGCAGGUGAGAGUCUGAAUUGCCCUCAUUUCCCUUCCUGCUCAGCCUGGUGGGGAAGACGCUGGGAAGGGGAACACGGCGUCCCUGCCCUCCUGCUACAAUUAGCCGAGCCUUUCAUUCUCCCUCUACAAAGAGGAGAGAGCAAAUCAAAAGAAGAUAAAAGUGCACGUCCCACAAAAGACAUCAAGAUGAGGGGGAAGGAAGGGAGGGUGGUGGGAAAGAGAGGCAGAGGCAGAGAGAAAGCCCUGCGGCCCAAACAAAAGCCUAAACCCAGCCGAUCCCAAGGAUCAGACAGUGGAGACACAAGGACAGGAAGAGAGCAGGCUGCGUGGGGAUCAGCAGCCCUGUCAAGCCAAGGAGGAGAGGAAAUGAAGGAAGAUAAAAUACCUAUGUGAAUUAUGUGAAUGGCCAGGGAAGAGGGUGGGGAGGGACCCCAGAUGGAGUCAGGACAAAAGCAUGAAAAGACAAGAUUGCCACCAUCCAUGAGCUACUCCACCCCAGGGAAAGCAAAGAGGCACUGGAGAUAAAGGCUGAGAGAGAAAGGUAGAAAGGGAGGGAGCUCAGCGCUGGUGGCAGGACUGAAAGCGUGGGGGGACAAUGGUGUGCAUUACCCAUGGAGGUCAACCGAGGUGAAGAGGUAAUCAGGGUCCUGGCCUGUAUUUGCUGCAAGAAAUCCUACCUGGUUGUAUGUCUUGCAUUUGAAUCAUAACGGCAACCCACUCCAGU